rnacentral:rRNA from 1 species
UACGGAGGAUCCGAGCGUUAUCCGGAUUUAUUGGGUUUAAAGGGUGCGCAGGCGGAAGAUUAAGUCGGUGGUGAAAUUUUGCAGCUCAACUGUAAAAGUGCCUUCGAAACUGGUUUCCUUGAGUGUAGAUGAAGUAGGCGGGAUUUGUGGUGUAGCGGUGAAAUGCAUAGAUAUCACGAGGAACUCCGAUUGCGCAGGCAGCUUACUAAACUACUACUGACGCUCAGGCACGAAGGCGUGGGGAUCAAACAGGAUUAGAUACCCGGGUAGUCCCU